GCCUCCACCCCCACCGCCGGACUCCCCUGUCCCGGCCCCGCGCCCCUGUUCCUCCACCUUAGGCCGACAGCUCCUUGUCUCCUCCCUCUCCUCGCGGCCUGCCGCCGCCGACCGGGCUGGUUGGCCAGAUCCGCGCCGUCGAUUGUGAAGCAUAAGGGCUUAGAACAUGAUUUCGCCUUCAAUGUUUCAUUAUAAUUAUGGUGGGAUUCAGGCUAAAACGCAAAAUGUAACAUCUAAGGGCGAUUCAGAUGGUGAUAAUGAUAUCGUCAUUGUGUCAAGCUGAAACAUAGCAGAAUACCUGCCCAAAGCUACAUAGGAUCACUUUGUCUUGAUCGUAUCGGAGUUCAUAUAUAUUCCAUGGAAAUACACGAAAGAAGGAGUAACUAAACGAGCAGCUACAAGGAAUCUUUCUUUAUUCAAAGUAUAGACCUACCGGGCAGGUCACAGCUAGCCAAUCACGGUGGAGAAAAAACAAGACGACUGUUUAGAGGUUGGACAACCAUUUUUGCUCCGUGAACGUCCAACACGGACUCAGCAGUCAGCAGUGCUAGGGACGCAAGCAAAAACAGAGGAGGAAGGAGAAACGAAGGCGCGAGCAGUCGUUGAGCCGAGCAGGUCGAUCGAUGCAAUCGUCCAAGCUGCUCUGCUGCUGCCGCCGCACCGAUAAGUCAGUAGUCCACCGCGGCAUUUCCCACAUUGCAAGCGAACAAGAGCUGGAGCCUGCCGUAUGAUGAGUUGGCCGGAGUCUUGUUUGUUUAUUGCCUGCGGUUGCUGCUUCGCGGUCGGCUGGUAAUCAACAAGUGCAUUUCUGCCUUGUUGGAGUGUUGUAGGAGUAUCUUUUUUCCAAGAGAGGUCGGUCGUCGGCUCGUUGCUGGGCUAAAAACCAAUAUAACAGCAUACUGUAUUCUCGGCCUGAAUUAUUGCCAGCCUGGGGGAGGGAAGGCAUCUCUCGUUCCGAGGAAAGCACCAACCGGAUUUAUAUAACGCGCGCGGUCAGUCGUCGUCUUCGCCGGGAGUGGACAGGACAAGAGGGCAGGACGGACGCACGCACGCACGGGUAGAGGAAUCAGCAUCAGCUGACGACAACGCUCCCAGCCGCAGCCGGAGAUCCGCCAUGAGCGACGCCCAGACUGCUACUCCCGGCGGCUACUUCGUUGGCCGUCCGGUGAACUCUGACGCGCCGGAGAAAGAGCCCGUCGUCGAACAGGCCCCCGUGAACGAUAACAUCCCCGGUGACUACUUCGUCGGACCCCCGGCGAACCAGCAGCCGAAACCCGCAGCUCAGGCCGCUAAACCGAGCUUCUUAGCCCAAUGCUGCCCGUGCCUAAGCGGCGGCGCCGCUGCCAGCUAGUAGGCCGCCGACGAGCCCGGCCGGCCGUGCUGCGCGUGGCGUGGCUCCGCGGAAGAUUGAUUUGAAGUGAAAUCUGAAUCCAUGGAGCAAGUUUUUUAACUCUGUAUCGGUCGCUACGAGUUCUGUUCAUCUUUGGGAAACCGCUUGAUUUUUCUUCCUUUCCCUCCCCAAACAUUGGAUUCCCCCGUGUUCAUCAUUCCUGUACCACCCGACAAACGCAAAUUUGUCAUCUGUCUAUGUGAAAUGAUGUUGAUUUAUUUAAUUAUUUAUAUAUCGUCAUGAUGUUGAUUGCGGACU